GCACUGGUGGUUCAGGGGUAGAGUUCUUGCCUUCCAUGCUGGAGACGCAGGCUCGAUUCCUGCUCAGUGCA
rnacentral:tRNA from 1 species